ensembl:lncRNA
CCACGAUGAAGCUGUGUCUUGCUGCCUUGCUUCUCUUGGCUACAUUGUGUGUGAAUUUUGCUCACUCCCUAGAAUGCCACGUGUGCUGCGGGCCUGAAAGCUGCCGGGCUCCCGUCGAAUGCUCCCCAACAGACAAGUACUGUCUUAUUACCCGGGCAAUCAACUCAAUCAACCCCAACCAUAUCCUGGUGAUGAAGUCCUGCGCCCCAACUUGCCCGAACAGCACCAUUUCAACCGAUGGACACGCCAUCUCUGUUGCCUGCUGCCAGGCAAAUAGAUGCAAUGGGAAGGUGGAGACAAAUGCUUCCACUAGCCUAGCCAUCAGCCAAGGGGUUCUGUGGGUGGGUCUCUCGGCCAGCCUCCUGUGGGUGCUCCUCCACGCUGGCUGGUGAGGAGAUUUUUCUUGUCCCUACCCUUCCACUGUCCCUAAAGUUUUCUGUUCCCAAGAUCUCUUCAAUCAGGACAGGAUUUCCAAUACCAAGGGGCAGAUUUCCUCCCAAGAAAAAAGAUCCACAGGAUAGGCUUUUGUUCCUUCUUCUAGUUCCUUCAGGGUAUCCAGAAGGAGGAACUCUGUCCUGUAGUCUCAUUCCUUGGGUAUGAAUCUGGCCAAUUCCCAGUAUUACUAUUUCUCUUUCUCCUUUUCUCUUCCCUUUCUUAUCUGGGAUGCUAAUCUUUUCCCUGCUGUUUUUCUGUCCCCUGAGGAUAGGGAAAAUUAUUUUUUUUCUGUUAGGGGUGGUACAGCCAUAAUUGGGAGGGGAAGGGAAGAGGUCAUGGGGGAACUGUGAAAUUUUAAUGUUUUAAUUAAACAAUCACUUCCUUCUUCUUUUCUACUCUGUCCUACUUAACAUUGAGUCCCUUUCCCCCCUUUAAUCCUUGGGAAGCUCAAUAUAACCCCCUCAGUGCCAGUCAGGGUGAAUGACCCAAUUAAAGAAGGCUUCACUAAAAGAAGCAGCUUUUAAACCCUCUUUAAAUGGAUCAUCCAUCAUAUAAUCAUGUGGUUUAGAGAUGGGGUAGAGAACUGAGAUGAAGAGUAUAUGAUUUCCUCAAACCUAUCCUAUAAGCAACAAUGGGUGGGGGGAGGGUAGAAUUAUCUCAGGCAUUAAUUUUCCCUAAAUGGAAAUAGGAGGGAAAGAAGCUGAGGAGCUGUGAUUAGGGUGAAGAGUACUCCAUUGCCUCAAUCAGAGAGCCCACCCUGAUGUAUCUACUUCCCUCACAGGGAUGUUGUGAGAGGAAAAAUAAUAAAUGAUUAAAAU